CCAAAAACACUUGCUCAGACACCAUCAAAUCCUUCGCAAAGUCUUUUUCUUACAAAAAAACAAACGAAAGCAACAAUGAAGCACCAGUUCAUUGUUCUGGCUCUCUUAUUCCUCAUCAACACAGCCCCGACCUCAGCUCAGCCAGCAGCCUCCCCAACAGCCCCAAUGGUCUUGCCGCCGCCACCCGUGUCCCUGGCACCCGUGUCCCCGGCGCCGGAUUCCCCUCCCCCGCCAGCGCCACCCCAAGCCCACCUCUUGAAGAUCCUCCAGAAGGCGGGUGGCUUCACCGUCCUGAUCAAGCUCCUCCGCGGCACCCACGUGUCCGACCAGGUGGACUCGGAGCUCUCCGACCUCAACGACGGCAUCACCUUCUUCGCGCCGGACGAU
rnacentral:lncRNA from 1 species